UUGCAGCAACUUAAUUGCCUUUUCAUCCAUUUCUGGACCCAUUUCAAGGGAGGAUUGGGAGAAAGUCUUAUAGUCUAGACUUAUAAUGUUAUAGUCUAGCUAGCUCAAGAAAUCUUGAGGUAAACCAUCUGCAACAGAUCGGCUGAGCCUCUGUUAGAAAACACUCCGAUGAAGGCCUACCAUGCACCAGCUAAGAGUGGCCAUAGUCAAGUAUCUAGCUAGAUUCAGGUGGAUUGAUCCAGUCAAGGAAGCCAUGGCCCUGAAUUUGCAAACUCUAAGCACAGCUGCAGAUAACCGGGGCUCUUGGAAGUUUCAUUUAUGGGGUUGUCAUAAAGUGAAGUUGAGAAGGAAAAUGACAGCAACAACAUGAGAUGUACCUUAGUGGCAUCAGUACUGGCUCUGUAUUUUCCCAGGGUGAGGACCCAGCCUGCACAUAAAAGAUAUUACACCUAAUUCACCUCCCAUUGGAUUGGAUCCAAACUCUAUCAUCUUUAGAAUGGAAUUAUUUAAAUUCAUGGACCUCAAGUUAGUCACAAUUAACCUACUGCAUAUCCAGCUAUUACCUAGCAUGUGAGUUGUAUUCCUCUAGCUGACUUCACAUGAACAGAAAAAUAGUGCCGAAAAAUGAUGAUUGGUAAAUAAAACCUCAUUGAAACUAUUGCUGGCAGUUCUGAGGUCUAGAAAAACAGCUGUUAGAUUUAUUCUGGAAAAAGAAGACUGAUUAUUGUUGUUGUUGUUUUUAAAAAGCUUUCUUUAGCAUUGCCAGAUGCCCAGCACAUAUGGCAAAUUAGAACUUUAUAUUCCAUUUUCCAAAGCUAAAUCACCUUUGGACAAAGAACAAAGAUGAGAAUAUAUUCCAUCCAGUGGAUUUUGUUUCUCUGACGUCUGAAAAACAUUCUACUAAAUAUGGUGGUUCAACAGUUGGAGUAUGAAAGCAAACUGCCUCUGUGGUACUUGAUGAAUGCAUGGGAAGCUUCCAAGAUGCUUUCAGUGUCUGAGAAGGAACAUUGUGGUGGAAAAUCCUUGUUGAAAUAAAAAGCCAUAGAAACAUGGAGUCGCUUUGGUUAAAGAAAAAUAGGUUUUUAAAAUAGAGGCUUG